GAACUCUUGCUCAUCCUGUACAACAUGCCGCUCCGUGACACGUGGUUACCGGCAGGGCCGCGCCUUGUGCGAUGAAAGUCAGCCUCCGUGGUGACAGUGGGCGACCGGCUGGCCUGAGACGAGGAGGGGUCCCCAGGGGCGCGGGGAACACAUUGAUGGAGCUGAGCAGGAUCUCCUCGUGGCCAGGGGCUCGCUCCCUCCUCCUUCCACAACCAGUGUCCGCUGCGGGCAGGCGUGCAAGGCCUCUCUCCCCGAGAAAGCCACAGGCUCAGCUCAACACCACGUAAUGAAAUACAGCAGCCCCCUUGUCACAGACAACGACGAUGACGAUGAUGAUGAUAACUGGGUUCUGCCGCUCACAGCUGAUUGGGGUGUGAGCAGGCUUCACUCCAACUUGCUUGAUUUGGGCCGGCCGGCUAGAGCCUGGCCCAGGUUCGAUCCGACUAGGACACACGUGAGAAAGCACAGCGGGACCG